UAUAAAUAUUGAUGUAAAAUUAAUAUAGGCAGUAAAGUUGUUAAAAAGGGAUACAUUUAUUACUCAAAUAAGUUAGACAGCAUGACAGUAAAACCAAACCAUAACAGUGAAACAGAAGGUACCUAUUUUGUACCAGUUAAUCUUCGGGCUAGAUCUCGCUCGUGCGAGGAGGCCCUAAAAGACUUGUGAACCCCUUGUGAACGCCCUCGGUGAUCCUUAACUGGCGUGAACUGGCGCAGGAUAGGGCAGAGUGGCGAUCUCUUGUGUCGGAUCUCGUGUGAUCCUCUUUGUGUCGCUGAGCCAGUGAAAUUAUGAGUAUUAGCCACGAUAUAACUCAUGAAGGAGGGAGAACCUAGAGAACGAACCUAUGGAACGAGAGACGAAGUUGGUCAUAAAUAGAACAGGAGCGAUGAGAUAUUGGAGAAACUGUUAGAAGGAGAUCGUCCAAUGACGGCGUUCUUGUGCUAUCAAAUAGGUACCUAAUGUGAAGAUAAUACCUAGAUUUCUACUCGUCUAAUACCUCGCCUACCUCGAAAAAUUCAAUAAAUCAAUCAAUCAAAAUA